CAACCUCAACUCAUAUGGGACUACCCCCUGAAUUUAAGCAUAUUAAUUAGGGGAGGAAAAGAAACUAACAAGGAUUUUCUUAGUAGCGGCGAGCGAAAAGAAAUCAGUUCAGCACUAAGUCACUUUGUCUAUAUGGCAAAUGUGAGAUGCAGUGUAUGGAGCGUCAAUAUUCUAGUAUGAGAAAUUAACGAUUUAAGUCCUUCUUAAAUGAGGCCAUUUACCCAUAGAGGGUGCCAGGCCCGUAUAACGUUAAUGAUUACUAGAUGAUGUUUCCAAAGAGUCGUGUUGCUUGAUAGUGCAGCACUAAGUGGGUGGUAAACUCCAUCUAAAACUAAAUAUAACCAUGAGACCGAUAGUAAACAAGUACCGUGAGGGAAAGUUGAAAAGAACUCUGAAUAGAGAGUUAAACAGUACGUGAAACUGCUUAGAGGUUAAGCCCGAUGAACCUGAAUAUCCGUUAUGGAAAAUUCAUCAUUAGAAUUGUAAUAUUUAAACAAUAUUAUGAUAAUAGUGUGCAUUUUUUCCAUAUAAGGACAUUGUAAUCUAUUAGCAUACCAAAUUUAUCAUAAAAUAUAACUUAUAGUUUAUUCAAAUUAAUUUGCUUGCAUUUUAACACAGAAUAAAUGUUAUUAAUUUGAUAAAGUGCUGAUAGAUUUAUAUGAAUACAGUGCGUUAAUUUUUCGGAAUUAUAUAAUGGCAUAAUUAUCAUUGAUUUUUGUGUUUAUUAUAUGCACUUGUAGGAUUAACAAUGCGAAAGAUUCAGGAUACCUUCGGGACCCGUCUUGAAACACGGACCAAGGAGUCUAACAUAUGUGCAAGUUAUUGGGAUAUAAACCUAAUAGCGUAAUUAACUUGACUAAUAAUGGGAUUAGUUUUUUAACUAUUUAUAGCUAAUUAACACAAUCCCGGGGCGUUCUAUAUAGUUAUGUAUAAUGAUAUUUAUAUUAUUUAUGCCUCUAACUGGAACGUACCUUGAGCAUAUAUGCUGUGACCCGAAAGAUGGUGAACUAUACUUGAUCAGGUUGAAGUCAGGGGAAACCCUGAUGGAAGACCGAAACAGUUCUGACGUGCAAAUCGAUUGUCAGAAUUGAGUAUAGGGGCGAAAGACCAAUCGAACCAUCUAGUAGCUGGUUCCUUCCGAAGUUUCCCUCAGGAUAGCUGGUGCAUUUUAAUAUUAUAUAAAAUAAUCUUAUCUGGUAAAGCGAAUGAUUAGAGGCCUUAGGGUCGAAACGAUCUUAACCUAUUCUCAAACUUUAAAUGGGUAAGAACCUUAACUUUCUUGAUAUGAAGUUCAAGGUUAUGAUAUAAUGUGCCCAGUGGGCCACUUUUGGUAAGCAGAACUGGCGCUGUGGGAUGAACCAAACGUAAUGUUACGGUGCCCAAAUUAACAACUCAUGCAGAUACCAUGAAAGGCGUUGGUUGCUUAAAACAGCAGGACGGUGAUCAUGGAAGUCGAAAUCCGCUAAGGAGUGUGUAACAACUCACCUGCCGAAGCAACUAGCCCUUAAAAUGGAUGGCGCUUAAGUUGUAUACCUAUACAUUACCGCUAAAGUAGAUGAUUUAUAUUACUUGUAAUAUAAAUUUUGAAACUUUAGUGAGUAGGAAGGUACAAUGGUAUGCGUAGAAGUGUUUGGCGUAAGCCUGCAUGGAGCUGCCAUUGGUACAGAUCUUGGUGGUAGUAGCAAAUAAUCGAAUGAGACCUUGGAGGACUGAAGUGGAGAAGGGUUUCGUGUGAACAGUGGUUGAUCACGAGUUAGUCGGUCCUAAGUUCAAGGCGAAAGCCGAAAAUUUUCAAGUAAAAUACAAAUGCCAAACAAAUAUAUAUAUUAUAUAAAAUCUAGCUAAAUUAAUAUACUUGAAUAAUUUUGAACGAAAGGGAAUACGGUUCCAAUUCCGUAACCUGUUGAGUAUCCGUUUGUUAUUAAAUAUGGGCCUCGUGCUCAUCCUGGCAACAGGAACGACCAUAAAGAAGCCGUCGAGAGAUAUCGGAAGAGUUUUCUUUUCUGUUUUAUAGCCGUACUACCAUGGAAGUCUUUCGCAGAGAGAUAUGGUAGAUGGGCUAGAAGAGCAUGACAUAUACUGUUGUGUCGAUAUUUUCUCCUCGGACCUUGAAAAUUUAUGGUGGGGACACCCAAACUUCUCAACAGGCCGUACCAAUAUCCGCAGCUGGUCUCCAAGGUGAAGAGUCUCUAGUCGAUAGAAUAAUGUAGGUAAGGGAAGUCGGCAAAUUAGAUCCGUAACUUCGGGAUAAGGAUUGGCUCUGAAGAUUGAGAUAGUCGGGCUUGAUUGGGAAACAAUAACAUGGUUUAUGUGCUCGUUCUGGGUAAAUAGAGUUUCUAGCAUUUAUGUUAGUUACUUGUUCCCCGGAUAGUUUAGUUACGUAGCCAAUUGUGGAACUUUCUUGCUAAAAUUUUUAAGAAUACUAAUUGGGUUAAACCAAUUAGUUCUUAUUAAUUAUAACGAUUAUCAAUUAACAAUCAAUUCAGAACUGGCACGGACUUGGGGAAUCCGACUGUCUAAUUAAAACAAAGCAUUGUGAUGGCCCUAGCGGGUGUUGACACAAUGUGAUUUCUGCCCAGUGCUCUGAAUGUCAAAGUGAAGAAAUUCAAGUAAGCGCGGGUCAACGGCGGGAGUAACUAUGACUCUCUUAAGGUAGCCAAAUGCCUCGUCAUCUAAUUAGUGACGCGCAUGAAUGGAUUAACGAGAUUCCUACUGUCCCUAUCUACUAUCUAGCGAAACCACAGCCAAGGGAACGGGCUUGGAAUAAUUAGCGGGGAAAGAAGACCCUUUUGAGCUUGACUCUAAUCUGGCAGUGUAAGGAGACAUAAGAGGUGUAGAAUAAGUGGGAGAUAUUAGACCUCGGUUUGGUAUCGCCAAUGAAAUACCACUACUCUUAUUGUUUCCUUACUUACUUGAUUAAAUGGAACGUGUAUCAUUUCCUAGCCAUUAUACGGAUAUAUUUAUUAUAUCUUAUGGUAUUGGGUUUUGAUGCAAGCUUCUUGAUCAAAGUAUCACGAGUUUGUUAUAUAAUCGCAAACAAAUUCUUUAAUAAAACGGUGCAUUUAUGUAUUUUUGAUUUGAAAAUUUGGUAUAACUCCAAUUACUCAGGUAUGAUCCAAUUCAAGGACAUUGCCAGGUAGGGAGUUUGACUGGGGCGGUACAUCUCUCAAAUAAUAACGGAGGUGUCCCAAGGCCAGCUCAGUGCGGACAGAAACCACACAUAGAGCAAAAGGGCAAAUGCUGACUUGAUCUCGGUGUUCAGUACACACAGGGACAGCAAAAGCUCGGCCUAUCGAUCCUUUUGGUUUAAAGAGUUUUUAACAAGAGGUGUCAGAAAAGUUACCAUAGGGAUAACUGGCUUGUGGCGGCCAAGCGUUCAUAGCGACGUCGCUUUUUGAUCCUUCGAUGUCGGCUCUUCCUAUCAUUGUGAAGCAAAAUUCACCAAGCGUUGGAUUGUUCACCCAUGCAAGGGAACGUGAGCUGGGUUUAGACCGUCGUGAGACAGGUUAGUUUUACCCUACUAAUGACAAAACGUUGUUGCGACAGCAUUCCUGCGUAGUACGAGAGGAACCGCAGGUACGGACCAAUGGCACAAUACUUGUUCGAGCGAACAGUGGUAUGACGCUACGUCCGUUGGAUUAUGCCUGAACGCCUCUAAGGUCGUAUCCGUGCUGGACUGCAAUGAUAAAUAAGGGGCAAUUUGCAUUGUAUGGCUUCUAAACCAUUUAAAGUUUAUAAUUUACUUUUUAAACGACAAUGGAUGUGAUGCCAAUGUAAUUUGUAACAUAGUAAAUUGGGAGGAUCUUUGAUCACCUGAUGCCGCGCUAGUUACAUAUAAAAGCAUUAUUUAAUACAAUGACAAAGCCUAGAAUCAAUUGUAAACGACUUUUGUAACAGGCAAGGUGUUGUAAGUGGUUGAGCAGCUGCCAUACUGCGAUCCACUGAAGCUUAUCCUUUGCUUGAUGAUUCGA